GCCACCAGCUGUCCUUGCUGACUGCCCCCACCCCUGUCCCCCAGGUCAGGGCACUCGGGCUGGGGACCAUCUCUGCCCCUGGGGGCCGGGGAGCCCCUUGGCCAGGCCUGAGCCAGCGGCUGGAUCACCCCAGGGUUUGUCUGCAAAGGGGUUCAGCAAGGGGCAAAGGCUGGGCGCUGAGCUCCAAGCUGGCACUUCAGUGUCUGCCCCAACCCUGCCACCAGGCCUGGCCCUCCCCAUGCAGCAGAACCGAGGAGCCGCUGCAGGCAGGAGGCCACAGGGAACUCCCCAGCCCGUGAUACCAGCCAGCUGGGCCAGGAAGGGGCCUGCAGGCCAUCCCCCUGUGGGAUGGCAGCUGGGG